ensembl:snRNA
GUGUUGUACGAAAGGAAGGUUAGAACUCCCCUUGACCAGAAUGGAAGAGGCCCUCGGACAUGCAUGGUUAAGGCAUUGCCACCUCCUCUGUGGCAUCUAACCAUGGGUUUGC